rnacentral:rRNA from 1 species
UAUAUGAGAGUUUGAUCCUGGCUCAGGUCGAACGCUGGCGGUGUGUCUAAGGCAUGCAAGUUGAGCGAACUUUAUUUCUUCGGAAGUUAAGUUAGCGGCAAACGGGAGAGUAACGCAUUAGUAAUUCACCUUGUACUCGUGAAUAGCCCAGAGAAAUCUGGAGUAAUACACGAUAUGAUGGGGGGACAAAAGUCAUUCCCAUUGAAAGUUCCGACGGUGCAAGAGAAGCUUAUGUUCUAUCAGCUAGUUGGUGAGGUAAAGGCUCACCAAGGCUAUGACGGGUAGGGG